GAAUGAGGAAGGAAAAUGGAAUU
rnacentral:snRNA from 1 species